GGUUUAAAAUUAUUAUUGUUAUAUUAUUAAAAUAUUAUGGGGUUNNUUAUUUAAUUUAGUAUUAUUUAUAGAUUUUUGUGUUAAUAUUAUAGUUUAAUUGUACAGUGUUGGUUAUUUGAAAGAUUAUUUUUUUUCUUUUUGAAGGAAAUUAUUUGUACCUUUUGUAUCAGGGUUAAUUAAAAAUUUUUAAUUUAUUUUGUGUUCUCGAAUCAAUAAGAUUAAUUUAAUUAUGUUAGUUAACGUUUUAUAGUUAUUAAUAAUAAUUGGAUGGUAAUGAAAUGUUAUUCGGUUUUUGAGAUAUCUAGUUUCCUGAGAAUUAAAUUUAAUUUGUUUAUUAAUUUUAGUAUAAAUUAUUAGUUUAUAAAAUAUUAUGUUAGUAUAUAAUAUUUUAGGGAUAAGCUUGGAAUAUAUUUGAUUAUAUUGUUUAUUUUAAAAAGAAUAUGUGUGCUUUGAGUUGGCUGUUGUGUGUAAUGUAUUAUAACUUUUGAUUAUUAAUUUUUAUAUAUUUAAUAUUAAUUUUUCAUUGGGAUGUUUAAUUUAAUAUUGUUAUUAAAGGAAUAAUGAUUAAAUUAGUAAAGUGUAUUGUAUAUUAUUAUUAAUUUUUAUGGAAAUAAUUUUAAGGAAUUAGGCAAUUUAUUAUUGUUCGCCUGUUUAUCAAAAACAUGUCUUCUUGUAUUAAUUAGAGGUUGGGCCUGUCCACUGAUGAAUURAAGGACCGCGGUAUUUUGACCGUGCAAAGGUAGCAUAAUCAUUAGUCUUUUAAUUAAAGGCUUGUAUGAAUGGUUUGACGAAAUAAUAACUGUCUCUGAAUUAAAUAAUUGAAUUUUACUUUCGAAUUAAAAGGUUCGAAUAAAAUUAAGGGACGAGAAGACCCUAUAGAUCUUAAUGUUAAAUUUUUAUAAUUAUAUUAUUAGUUGUAUAUUAUUUUAUAAAUUUUUAUCAUUUUGCUGGGGUGGUGUGAGAAUAUAAUAACUUCUUGAUUUUUAACUUAUUUUAUGGAUAUAUGAUCUUAUAUUAUGGAAUAAAGAUUAAGAUACCUUAGGGAUAACAGCGUAAUUUUAUUGAAGAGUUCUUAUCGAUAAUGAAGAUUGCGACCUCGAUGUUGGAUUARGAUUAUAAAUUGGUGUAGUUGCUAAUAUUAAUUGGUCUGUUCGACCAUUAAAYUCUUACAUGAUCUGAGUUCAAACCGGUGUGAGCCAGGUUGGUUUCUAUCUUUUUUUAAUAUAUAUAUUAUANNGUACGAAAGGACCUAAUAUAUUAAAUAUUUUAUAAUAAUUG
rnacentral:rRNA from 1 species